rnacentral:lncRNA from 1 species
CUUCCCUUCCUCAAACCAGAGAAACCUCCCCAGAACCCUAGCAGCUGCUCCCAAAUUCCACCGCCGGCGAUGGAAGCGCCACCUCCAUUUUCAUCCAAAAGUACACCCCUUAUUCUUCUCCUCCUCCUCAUUUCCGAUCCACAACACGUUUUCCUUGAACCCCAACACAACUCGUCGAAUCAUCAACCAAAGAUUUCUGGCCAAAACUCAAAUUUCUCCGUUCAUCACCAAAUUUACACCAUAGGACCUCCAUGGCAUCCCCUCUCAAACCAUCCAAGUCUCAUCCCUUGAAUCACCGCCCAUCUUCUCAAAUAUUAAUUCUUAAAAUUCAAGCCAAAACCCUAAUUGCCCCAAACUUCACCAAUUUGAUACCAAAUGACCCUCUAACCUUCCUCGUAGUGACUUGGUCAUCAAUCGAGCUUUAUUUUUGCUGGAGUUGGUCGGGUUCGAAUUUGGAAAUUUGACCGGAGUCUCGAAGUUAGUCAGUGAGUUUUCGAGUUUAAUUUUUUUUUAUUUUUCCUUUUCCUUGAUAUUCACUGACCGUCCAUGAGUAUGUAGCUUCUUAACUUUGUUUGGAAUAAAUGUCAGUUCGAAAUCAAUGACUCUUCCGUAUUUCUGUUUUUUUAUCCUUAUCUGUUUGAUUUGUGUUAAUUUAGGUGAUUAAUUGGCUAUUAGUUAGAUUCGUUUCAAUUUGGCUAUUUGAAUAAUGAUUCUUAAUCUCAAUUGUAAUUCUAUUUAGUUAAUACUCGUUUGAAUGUUAUAUGGUUGUUAAGUCUAAUUAAAUUCAGUUUUAUAAUUAAUUUGGUUUCAAGUCUUUGAUUAAGAUGGUUUAAAUCAUCAGCAAUUGAUCACCUUGGUGUGUGUUUGGUUUGUUGAAGAUUGUUAACUAGAUAAUCAUAGGUAGGGGUUUGGGUUCAUGAAUUUUAGAAGUACUAAAGGGUAGUUUAGAUAUUUGGUAUUGGGUAGAACAUGGUAGAUCACACUAGAAUAGUUUAGACCCUUCUAGAAUAGGACCUUAGUGAUAUUUCAGUAAACUCAUGGUGUUUCCUUGAGUAACAAGUUUAAAAAUGAGGGACAACAACUGAAAAUGAAGAGGGACCAAAAGAAUAACUAAAAACCUGAUUGUUGCCUAUAAAAAGGCAUCAAAAAUGCCUUGAUGAGGUAAUUUUGGAGAGCCACAUAAUCCCCCCCNNNNNNNNNNNNNNNNNNNNNNNNNNNNNNNNNNNNNNNNNNNNNNNNNNNNNNNNNNNNNNNNNNNNNNNNNNNNNNNNNNNNNNNNNNNNNNNNNNNNNNNNNNNNNNNNNNNNNNNNNNNNNNNNNNNNNNNNNNNNNNNNNNNNNNNNNNNNNNNNNNNNNNNNNNNNNNNNNNNNNNNNNNNNNNNNNNNNNNNNNNNNNNNNNNNNNNNNNNNNNNNNNNCCCCCCCCCGAAAAAAAUACUCUCUAUCUGAAAUUCAAAUCUUCAAAACAAAGCUCCUUUAGAUCUUAACUUCUUCAAAAAGAAAAAUAAAAAAACAAAAGAAAAUAUGACAAGAAAAUCCAAAAUAGUUCAGUUACAUUGCACUUUACUAGGUUAUUUUGAGUUUUGAACAUUAAAACUAUUCUCCUAGCUUGGGUUUUUAAAUGUUGAAGCUUCAAAAUCGUUUUUGAUGGGAUUUCGAGUGAUUUUGGCAUCCAUUGAGUUGUUCUGGGUCAGCUGUUAAGUGUUGGGUUGCUGUGAAGUAUUCCCAUUUUCUGUGAAGUUAUUUUUGGCUCAAUUAAAUCUGAUUGUUGUUGUGCUUGACUGACUGGAGUCCGUUAGCUGUUACUGGUUGCUGAUAUCUCUUUUCUUCUCUUUUCGUUGUAAUCCAGGUACACGUUUUGAGUUUCUCAACUCAUUUGAAGUGAAAUGAAGUGCUGGUUGGACCUUUCCUGCUUAAUUCCCUUAUUGUUUUCUUUGACUUGAUAUUGAAUAUAACUCCUUAGUAUAUAUUGGAUUAAUAGGUGUAUAACUGACUGCAGAUUUGUUAACUUACCUUCUAGCAUUUUAUUAAUUUAUGUAAUAAAAAUGGACUGUAUUAGGACUGUGUUUAACUGAUCUGGGCUAAUUAAAUCUGCGUUUAUGUUUGUUCAUUCCAUGAUAGCGAUUUAGUACAAUGUAAUCCGAAACCACAUGAUAAUCGCAUUUGGAAAGAGAAACUGAGUUGCUAGUAUUGAUUUAAUAAUGUCCACUUGAAUCCAUUAGAAAUGUUCAAUUUGUUUGUGUUAUCAAAUUGUGUUUCCAUUAUGCUUAGUAAUAUACAUGAACUCGCCAGUGGCUAAUUAGUAAAAUGAUUUAAAUCUUCAAUUGGAUUCAUAGUGUCAAUGUUUCAUUAGAUUGAAAGAUGCAUAUCGCUUUUCCUUGACUACAAAUUGAUAAACACGUUUGAAUGACCUGAAGUGAUCCUAGAGGUGUUUGUUCAAAAAUUGAUUUCUGGGCAGUUUGGGCCAGCAUUAUCACUGACGGUCCAGGUCUCGUUUCAAAUGUGCACCUAUGUGGAUUUAGGCCCAGGCUGGUGUUUGGCCUCCCUUCUCGCCGCAUUGGGGUACGGACUGGGCCGUGUUCAAGAGCAGAAAAUGACUAAGUAAUUGAAUUCAUGUGUCCCUAAACCCCCUAACAUAAGUAGCUUUUAAACAAUUUGAUUAAUUAAGAUUUCUUUUUCAUUAAGAGACAAAAAAUAGAAAAUUCAUAGUCUCUUUUUGGUUUGCCUUUAAAUAUUAAUUGAGAUGAGCCUUGCCAAACAAAAUUACGGGGCCCUCAAUAAAAAUUAUAUUUAAUUUAGACUUCGGGAUGUGCCAUUUAGUGAAUUUCACGGUCUUCCCUAAAGAUAACAACGCAUUAGACACUUUAGGCGCAAUGUUAAUAAAUCACAUUCCUAAACUUGGCUGCGUAUUGAUGCGACCCAAAUUCAAAUCUCAACGGACUCAAAACGUGUUAACAACCAUGGGUGCAUUGAUUGCGAUGUGGUUCGAGACGCAUUUUCUCACCGGGUCCAACCUCUCCUUUGCAAAAAUAGCCAAAAAAAUAUCAAAAUUUUAAUUUUCAUCAUAAAUAAGUCGGGUGAUUCCGUUUUCGUCAAAAAUAGCCAAAUGUUCCCAAAAGGGAUGUCGGAAGGCUGACUUUUGCAGAAACGGCCACCUUGGGCCAUUUUUAGAUUUUUGGCUAGUUGACCCACACAGCCUUAUAUUUUUCAUCCCCGAGGCGCUGAAAGGCCGUGUUUGCAAUACCAGGUCUUCAUUUUAAUUUCAAAAACAAGAAAAGUCAUAAAUAGGUCAGGUGAUUCCAUUUGUCAAAAAUAGCCAAAUGCUUCCAAAAGAGACGCCGGAAGGCUGACUUUGCAUAGACAACCGCCUUUGGUUAUUUUUUGGGUUUUGACUGGUAGCCCGCACAACUUUAAAAUCUUCGUCCCUGAGGUGCUGAAAGUCCGCGUUUGUAAAACCAGGUCUUUUAUUUCAAUUUGAAAAAAAACAAGAAAAAGAGUCAGAGGUCAAGUGAAUACUGCUUGGAUUUUUGGGAAAAAUAAGCCGAGCUAUCUUCGGCAGUGUCUUAAACCGUUCUUGCCGAGAUAGACUUAGCGUAUAUUUCAUUUGUCGAAAGAUUAUUUUCUUAAAAGAACGGGCAAGUUUGUGAAAUAUCAUAAAACAAUCCUCCCUGGUCUCAAAAUUCAUGUGAAAUUGGGAAGGAGCCACGUUUGCAAAAAUAAGCAUUUGGUUAAACUCGGCAUAUAGGGAAGGAAUCUGUCGAUUUGUUUUUAAGCUUGUAUUUCUUUUGAUUAGAGUAUGUGGUUUGUUUGAUUUUAAGUCUGUAUUUCAUUUUUUUUGCCAAAGGCUGCUAGUUUAAGUUUGUCAGUUUUUAAAUCCUUGUAGCCAAAGUAGUUUUAUUAUGAAAAAUUGAAAAUUACAGAAAUGUUUUGUUGUUGUUUACCUUUUAUUUGCACGAAUUACGCUCGGUCUGAUUCAUUUGGGGUCAUGAUACUAGGCAAUCCACAUAGGAUUCGACCAUAACCAAAUAAAAAAAAAGAGAAAAAGAAAAGAGCGGAAAUAAAAGGAAAAGAGAGAAGAAAUACAAUAUGGCAAAAACAAAAAAGGGAAAGAAAAGAACGGAUAACCAAGAAAAAAGAAAUAAAAGGAAAGAAAAAUGAGAGAAGAAAGAAAGAAAAUAAGAGAAGAAAGAACGAAAAAGAGAGAAAGGAAAAGAGGAGAGUUUGCAAUCAAAAAUGAGAAAAGGUCGGGAUGACGCAUGCGAUCGAGCAAAAGCAUAAAUGAAAUUGUCUUCCAUUUAGGUGCAUUCAUUCCUCAGAUGUGCGAUUACCAAUGUGAUAAAUGCCCUAAAGCUAACAUGGUGGUUUCAUUUUGGCAUGUCGUAGCAGAAGGAUGGUUGGUUUGUGGUUCAUAAGGUAACUCAUCCAUACAACACAAUGUCGAAAAGUGAGGCAGUCAUUGCUGGCAAAGGGUUGAACAUAUGUAUUACUAAUCCGUCAAAAGGAAUUGUUGAAUCAGAAUAUGAGUUGAAAGAAAAGGUUUUGAGGUUGAAAAGACAAAUAGUCGAAAUGCACAAAGCUUGGACCGGUGGGUGUCCUCCGCCAUCAAUCCCCUAUGCCCAACAUUAUGCUUCAGAACCAAUUGUCAGGGUAUCGAGCCUAUACCAUCACGCUCUUCAUUUUGAGUCUCCUGAUGAGAAUGAAGCUUGCUAAAAUAGUGGAGCAGGAUGAGAUAUCCAGAAAGUUGGAAGGGUUUAAGAUCCCAAAGUUUAAUUUGUAUGAUGGGCAGGGAGAUCCAGUAGCCUACUUGAGGGAUUACUGCAAUAAAACGAGGAAUGUCGGCAAAGAAGAUGAGUUGUUGAUGUCGCAUUUCAGUGAGAGCCUGAUUGGGGCAGUCUUGGAAUGGCAUGAUCGUCAAGAUGUCGAGAAGUGGAACACGUUGGGCGACAUGGCUCUAGGUUUUGUGCGACAAUUUCAGUACAAUAUAGGCAUUGUCUCAGACCGUUCCUUACUAUCUGAGAUUGAAAAGAAACCCAAGGAAGGUUUAAGGAUUUCUUGCUUAUAUGGAACGAACAAGUUGCUCAAGAUGGUUCUUCCCUUGACAAAAAAUAUGUUGCUGAGCCCCGCCAAUGACAUGGUCCAGUUGUCGUUCUUGCCAAACGUCCUCAGCCUGACCUCCAAUCCCAAAGACAGGGCUCAAUGGUCGUUCUUGGUAAAUGCUUUCAGCCUCAAUACUGACCUCGUGAACAUCCCCAAACUCCACAUAAGUCACCUCAGUACUAUCCACCGAACAACAUCCGGCCAUCUGCUUAAUAACCAGUUCGCUUCUUAGGGCAAAAAACAGCACCCCAAAUUUCCCAUGUGCCUUCACAACAUUUUCAAGCAUCCAGAAACCCUAGCAAACUGGGAUAUGAAGGGAAACUGAAGAAAAAAAAGAAAUUCACGCCCAUCGGAGAAUCCUACACAAGUUUGUUUGAAAAGUUGAAGCAUGCUGGCUUGAUUAAGCCGCUCCUUGGCUGUACUCCAGACCCAUAUUCGAAAGGCUUUGAUCCUGCUGUUCGAUGCACGUACCACUCUAAUGUCCAGGGGCAUAGUAUUGAAGAUUGUUGAUCUUUGAAAAGGGAAAUAGAAAGAAUGAUUCAAGAAGGGUAAGUUGUGGUCAAGGACAGUGAUAGGGAGCAUGUGAAUAUUCUUGGGAAUUUGUUGAUUAAAGUUGAUAAUGAUUUUUGCAAUGUUGAUAUGAAGCUCAGUGGCUAAGAUACCGUGCUUGGAAAUCGGGAAGAUGGUCAAUUUCUUGGCCAGAUGGAUUAGAGCUUUGGUGGUCCAUUUUGCUGUCGUUUCUGCUAUCCGAGUUUGUUUGCAGGGUUGCGAUCUGGAUAUUGUAUUGUGAUUCAAACCCUCUUAUCCUUUCAUUUUGUUUAGUCGUAGUGGUUUGUUAGUGUUGUACAGGUUUGUUUCAAUUCAUUCAAGGGUUGUACUCCAGUUUGUUUGUUUGUUUUAUUAUUUCAACUGUUUUGUCGUUUCUUUAAUGCAAAUUCUGAUCUUUUGUCACUUCCAAUCAUUUCUCUUUGUUUAGUUCUUUUAUAACCUUUUGUUUUGUAUUUUGCUGGUUCAAGUGACAUGACAUGCACGCAUAAUUCUCAGUUUGAUCUUUAAAAGCUACGUUAGUCGGGAAGUAAUGAAACCAUUUUGAAGACGAUGCGGGAAUUUGAGGAAGCAAGAACAGAUUUAGACGUUUUGAGAUUGUUUGACGCCCGAACCAUGUGAAACUGGGUCAAAUAGAACAUAAAAAAUCCCCGCAAAAGCAAGUCGGCCAAAUUGAUAGGGGGCCGAUUGUGGUAAUAAAAAUAAGAUUGUUGCCCAAUGGCACAUUAUAUUUGACUUAUGUAGAAGAAAAACUUGUGUAAUGGCCGUUAAUUCCGAUGCGGUCAAGAGAUGCUGUAUAUGGUUUCUUUAUUCUGAUUGUACUUGUUUUUAGUUGGCAUAUUUUGAAGUUUGAAAUGACGAAGGCAUUUUGUUCUGCUAUCUAAAUACUUUACCCAUUUGUCACCCUCUUUGAGCCUAUUUGUUUACUUUCAUAUCCCUCUUUCGGAAUCAACGACACAAUCAUUGAAACGCAAGUGUCGAAGCUAAGCAAAUGAAAAAAGAAGGAAAAAGAAAAGGAAAGAAAGGAAAAAGAAAAAGAAAAAGGAAAAAGAGAAAAGGAGAAAAGGAAGACAAAGGAAAAGAAAAAAAGAAAAAAAUAAAAGAAAAGAAAGAAAGAGAAAAUAGAAAAAAAAAGAAAAAAAUGAAAAAAGAAAGAAGAAAAGAAAAACUAAAGGAAAAGAAAAAUCACAAACAAAACCAAAGUAAUUCUAUGACGUGAACUACGUUUGACUUGAUCCCAAAAGGGUACGUUGGCAGGCUCUCUGAGGUUCAGUCAUACCAAAAUAAAAAUCCAAUAAUCCCCAAACAAGAAAUUGGGGCAGAAGUUGCGGUUUUUUGAGAAAUUGGAUUUCGAAUGUUGUAAUUUUAACCCAUUUUUAAAUUAUUUUUGACACUUUAUACCCUUCUUUUCUAACCCUUUCCAAAAGACACAUUACGGUCCAAAGAAAGUCCUUUUGAUCAGUUUCUCAGAAAUGCCAAGUCAAUCAGGUAAAGAUAAUUCAUCUCCAGGGGCAACCCUCCGGUCCAAACAAGGAAAAUGAGAAUGAAAGAAUCUUAGUGAUGAAAACCCUCACAGGUACCCUCAAGGCGAUGAAAGCUAAUAGAAAUAAAAAACGAGAGAGUCUUAUUGGUGAAAACCUUUACAGGCACCUUGAGACGAUGGUAAGUUAAGAAAAAGAACAAAAUGAGAGAGGCUUGAUGGUGAAAACCCUUCGGGCACUACAAGUUGAAUAAAUACUGCAAAUCAUAUUGGAUAAGUGGAGCAUUGAAGCCGAGUUUCACAUUGAAAAGGGCACAACAGGAGCUGAACCUUAGGUUUGAUUGACAGAAUAUCUAUAGGUGCAUGUCAUGGUCAUUAGAGUUGGUUUCCAUACCCGGUAGGUUUCUACUUUGUAGUUUUCUCUUUAGGAAUCGUCUCUUUCCUUUGUACUUCACUCCGUUCCUCUAUUUUGUUCACCUCCCCUUUCUGAGUCUGUUUGGUUAUAACAAGUGAGAAAUGACUGCAAAGUUUGCCACCAGCUUUUCAAUUACACAAGAUGGGGUCUGGCUAGCAUAUCAAAGUGUCACAAGUCAGGAAAAAGAAUAAGACCACUGAGCUGGAAAUACUCAACAUACUUUGGGGGAGCAAUAGACUUCAAGGUCAAGAGCCAGGGGUUUCAACAUACUAUAGGUGACAAUGAACAUGCUUUGGGGUACGACACAAGGGUUGGUUAAAGUCAGUAUAUGAGGAGUGCAAAAAAUAGAAGGAAUAGGGUCUUGAAUGCAGAAGUUGUAUGACAAAGGAAGUGGUAAGGCAAGAAAUAAGCAGGGUUUUCAAAUAGAAAUGAAAGUUAUCGGCAAGUAAGAGUGCAACAGACCUUAGGGCCAAGGCCAUCAGAUAAUCCAAGAGACAACAACAUACUGUUGGGGGGNNNNNNNNNNNNNNNNNNNNNNNNNNNNNNNNNNNNNNNNNNNNNNNNNNNNNNNNNNNNNNNNNNNNNNNNNNNNNNNNNNNNNNNNNNNNNNNNNNNNNNNNNNNNNNNNNNNNNNNNNNNNNNNNNNNNNNNNNNNNNNNNNNNNNNNNNNNNNNNNNNNNNNNNNNNNNNNNNNNNNNNNNNNNNNNNNNNNNNNNNNNNNNNNNNNNNNNNNNNNNNNNNNNNNNNNNNNNNNNNNNNNNNNNNNNNNNNNNNNNNNNNNNNNNNNNNNNNNNNNNNNNNNNNNNNNNNNNNNNNNNNNNNNAACAGACAUUCUUUGCGAGUCAUGUGAAACACAAAGGUUGGGAGGAUGCCAGUUCAAUAAAUAGAGGUCAUCGAGUCUGAACCGAAAAGAGGGGUAGUUUGUGGGAUGAGGGCAACAGAAAGGGGUUGGUUCGUAAACAAGCAAGGAUUUCGAGUGGAGAUCAGUCAUCAUGCAAAAUAAAGAAGAAAUCGCCGCAAAGUUCAAGGCCAUAAAGCAACCACCGAAUUUCUAAACUGACAUAAUUUUCUUUGACGAAAAUAGUGGCAUACAAUUUGGUUGUUCCGGAGGAAUUCUCCAUAAGGGAAAGACGAGCAGUAAUCAGGUUUGACCGCAAGCGAGGUUUGAUUAAAAUACAAGAUAGUCAGGAAUAACAUAGGGGAAUGUGAGUUUCAGUCUUUAAAUUUUAUCUUUUGAAGUUAGGAGCCCACCCAUAUAACAAGGGAAUACAUUUCAGUCUUUAAGUUUUAAAUUUUGAAGUUGGGAGCCCGCCCAUAUAGCAAUGGAAUACAUUUCAGUCUUUAAAUUUUAAGUUUUGAAUUUGGGAGCCCACCCAUAUAACAAGGGCACACAUUCAGUCUUUAAAUUUUUAGUUUUGAAGUUGGGAACCCGCCCAUAUAACUAGGGAAUACAUUUCAGUCUUUAAAUUUUAAGUUUUGAAGUUGGGAGCCCGCCCAUAUAACAAGGGAAUACAUUUCGGUCUUUAAAUUUUAAGUUUUGAAGUUGGGAGCCCGCCCAUAUAACAAGGGAAUAUAUUUCGGUCUUUAAGUUUUAAGUUCUGAAGUUGGGAGCCCGUCCAUAUAACAAGGGAAUACAUUUCAGUCUUUAGCUUCUAAGUUUUGAAGUUGGGAGCCCGCUCAUAUAACAUAGAAAAACAUUCAAGUUCAGGUUCAGAGAGGUAUCACAAUUCAAGUUUUAGUUUAAAUUCUUAUUAAUAUACGGUAACAAGCACCUAGUAUUCCAAACUGGGGCAGAAAGUUUUCUUUGUUUUGUUUAUUUUGGUGAAGUCAGGAGAUUCAAGUUCAAAUCCAGCAGUCGGGAUCUCACCCGCAUAACAAGGGAAUAUAUUCAAGUCCAAGUUCAGAACUCAGGAGCCCACCCGCACAACAAGGGAAUACUUCAAGUUCAGCAAUUUGAAGAAAAGGAACAACAUCUCAGUUUGCAAAUUGGAAAUGGCAACAAUGGAUUUUAUCAAGAGAACACAAGACAACAAGACAACAAGGAAGUACAAGAGCAAGUUUAAAGAAUUUAGAUAGGACCUUUGUAAUUCAUAGUUCAUAAUUUAGGCUAACUUCUUUUUAUUUUGACAUGGUGUAAUAAGGGAGGUCAGCAAGCAGCAACAGAAACAAGGAAGUACAAGAACAAGUUUGAAGAACUUAGAUAGGACCUUUGUAAUUCAUAGUUCUUAGUUUAGGCUAAAUUUUUUUUUUAUUUUGACACUGUGUAAUAAGGGAGGUCAGCAAGCAGUAGCAGCAGCAAUCGCAGUGAAAUCACAGCUCCUAGUAGUCCCAGCUACCACACACUCCUGAACUACACUGACCUGAUUUUUGCUUAGCCCAGGAUAUGUAGGCAACCUCUGAAGCAGGGUGCGGUCAGUUCUUUCAAAAAUGCUUCACACGGAAUAUUCGAGCGGGCAAAAAGCGCUCGUUUUCUGCAUUUAUCUUUGCAAGAAAACUCUUCAUGUUUCCAGGAAAAGAGGGGCAACUAUGAGUAUGUGAUUUUUGUCCUAUAUAGGAAUUAUUCCCAAAAAUUAAAACAAAGUGAUUUUUUCAUUAUUUUUGCAAUUUUGUGAAUUUUGUUUUAUUUUCUCUUAAUUGUUUGCAUUUUUUUAUUUGUGCAGUUAAUUCACAUAAAAAAUACAAAAAUAUAUUUGCAUUUAGGUUUUAAUUUUACAUUUUUAGUAUUAAUUAGGAGUUAAUUUAUUUUAAAAACAAGAUAUGAAGAAAUAACAAAAAUGGUCCACUUUUGCAUUUUUAAGUAUUUUAGUUGUGAAUUCUCUACGAAAUAGUUUUAAAAUAAGUUUAGGAGUUAAUUAUUUUAAUUUUGAAACAUAUUAGGACUUAAUUUUAAUUUUUUUUGCAUUUUUAUAAAUAAGAAAAUACAAUAAUACAUAAUGAAUUACAAAAAUAGAUAAAAGAAAUAAGGAGAAAACAAAUAAAAGGGAGAAAUGGAAUAUUACAAUCCCAAAACCAACCCACACCUGUCCAGCCCAAAUCCUUAUAUCCGGUCCAGCCCCGCCUCCCCUUAAACGACAUCGUUUGAUAGAUUUAAUCGUGGUCCUUGAUCUCUGAUCCAAUGGUCAAUGAUGUCCUAGAUUCUUUAAUAUAAAAGUGUCCAAACACUCCCCACCCCCUUUUUUUCGUCUCUCUUCCCUUCCUCAAACCAGAGAAACCUCACUGGAACCCUAGCAGCCGCCCCCAAAUUCUGCCGUCGGCGAUUGCGGCGCCACCUCCAUUUUCGUCCAAAAUUAAACCCCUUAUUCUUCUCCUCCUCCUCAUUUUCCGAUCCACAACUCGUUUCCUCGAACCCCAACCAAAAUCGUCGAAUCUUCAACCAAAGUUUUCUGGCCAAAACUCAACUUUCUUCGUUCACCACCAAAUUUACACCAUAGGACCGACAUGACAUCCUCUCUCAAACCAUCCAAGUCUCAUCCUUUAAAUCACCGCCCAUAUUCUCAAAUAUUAAUUCUUAAAAUUUCGGCCAAAACCCUAAUUGCCCCAAACUUCACAAAUUUGAUACCAAAUGACCCUCUUACCUUCCUCGUAGUGACUUGGUCAUCAAUCGAGCUUUAUUUGUGCUGGAGUUGGUCGGGUUCGAAUUUGGAAAUUUGACCGGAGUCUCGAA